rnacentral:rRNA from 1 species
CCUACGGGAGGCAGCAGUGAGGAAUAAUGGACAAUGGGCGAGAGCCUGAACCAGCGAAGCCGCGUGAAGGAUGAAGGAUCUAUGGUUUGUAAACUUCUUUUAUGUGGGAAUAAAGUGAGGAACGUGUUCCUUUUUGUAUGUACCAUAUGAAUAAGCAUCGGCUAACUCCGGGCCAGCAGCCGCGGUAAUAGGGAGGAUGCGAGCGUUGUCCGGAUUUAUUGUGUUUAAAGGGUGCGUAGGUGGUUUCUUAAGUCAGCGGUGAAAGUUUGUGGCUCAACCAUAACAUUGCCGUUGAAACUGGUUGACUUGAGUAUAUUUGAGGUAGGCGGAAUGCGUGGUGUAGCGGUGAAAUGCAUAGAUAUCACGCAGAACUCCGAUGGCGAAGGCAGCUUACUAAACUAUAACUGACACUGAGGCACGAAAGCGUGGGGAUCAAACAGGAUUAGAUACCCUGGUAGUC